UUUGUUGAUGAUGUGGACGUCAAGGAAUUUGAAGCUCUCAAAUUGCUCCACUGCAGCCCCGGCGACGAGAAUGGGGGCGUGUUCAGUCCUCUUUUUCCUGUAGUCCUGUUACAACUUUUACAACACACACAUGUAAACUACUGUUACAAACACACACCUGUAAACUACUGUUACAAUCACACACCUAUAAACUACUGUUACAAACACACACCUAUAAACUACUGUUUCAAACACACACAUGUUAACUACUGUUACAAACACACACCUAUAAACUACUGUUACAAACACACACCUAUAAACUACUGUUACAAACACACACAUGUUAACUACUGUUACAAAUGCACACCUUUAAACUACUGUUACAAACACACACCUGUAAACUACUGUUACAAACACACACCUAUAAACUACUGCUACAAACACACACCUGUAAAAUACUGCUACAAACACACACAUGUUAACUACUGUUACAAACACACACCUGUCAACUACUGUUACAAACACACACCUGUAAACUACUGUUACAAACACACACCUGUAAACUACUGUUACAAACACACACCUAUAAACUACUGUUACAAACACACACCUGUUAACUACUGUUACAAACACACACCUGUUAACUACUGUUACAAAUGCACACCUGUUAACUACUGUUACAAACACACACCUGUAAACUACUGUUACAAACACACACCUGUAAACUACUGUUACAAACACACACCUGUUAACUACUGUUACAAACACACACCUGUAAACUACUGCUACAAACACACACCUGUUAACUACUGUUACAAAUGCACACCUGUAAACUACUGCUACAAACACACACCUGUAAACUACUGUUACAAACACACACAUGUUAACUACUGUUACAAACACACACCUGUAAACUACUGUAACAAACACACACCUAUAAACUACUGCUACAAACACACACCUGUAAACUACUGCUACAAACACACACCUGUAAACUACUGUUACAAACACACACCUGUAAACUACUGCUACAAACACACACCUGUAAACUACUGCUACAAACACACACCUGUAAACUACUGUUACAAACACGCACCUGUAAACUACUGUUACAAACACACACCUGUUUCAAACACACACCUGUUUCAACACACACCUGUUUCAAACACACACCUGUUUCAAACACACACCUGUAACAAACACACACCUAUAAACUACUGUUUCAAACACACCUGUUUCAAACACACACCUGUUACAAACACACACCUAUAA
rnacentral:lncRNA from 8 species